UAUGUAGGUGGCAAGCGUUGUCCGGAAUUAUUGGGCGUAAAGCGCGCGCAGGCGGUCCUUUAAGUCUGAUGUGAAAUCUUGCGGCUCAACCGUAAGCGGUCAUUGGAAACUGGAGGACUUGAGUGCAGAAGAGGAGAGUGGAAUUCCACGUGUAGCGGUGAAAUGCGUGGAGAUGUGGAGGAACACCAGUGGCGAAGGCGACUCUCUGGUCUGUAACUGACGCUGAGGCGCGAAAGCGUGGGGAGCGAACAGG
rnacentral:rRNA from 1 species